UAAAUGAAAUCGGUUGAGAAAAAUUAGAUUAGUUCAUUUAUUUUGUUUGGGCUAGUCUCUUUAAUUAAUUCAAAGCUUUGAAAGCCAAAUUAAAAAUGAUUCAAAAUCCCUAAAACUAUCUAGCACAUUAUGUAAAUACCCCUGACUCGACCCAAACCAACAAUUGAACCACCCUUACAUCCCCUUUUCUCUUCCCAUUGAAACUCAACCAAACCAGCAUCGAUAAUCUUCUUCUCUCUCUCUACUGCAAACGUCAUUUCUCCCCCGGACCAUCGGAUAACAGUGACUCCGAUGGUCCUCAAACUUUUUCUCCCACAUCCAUCAAUCUCACAAUCUCCAUCAACUUUAUAUCACUUCUAUCACCUUUCUUCCAAGAUCAGAUCCCAAAAUUACUCCACCUCCACUGCUACGUCUGAUAAAGGUGAAGAGCAUGGAAGACCACCGGAUUUGGGAAUCUUAUCCCCUUAAUUUUAUUAGUCUGAAAGUGAAUGCCAUCAAAAAGCCUUUUCCCCAUUCACCUCAAUAUGAAAUUGAAGCUUUCUCUUCUUCCAAUUUGGUCCCUUUGAUUUUCUCUGAGAUUUGGCUUUUCAAGAAUUCAAAUUUGAAUUCUUGGAGCCUCUUUUAGGGGCUACUGCAAUGCCUCUCAAGUGUGGCUAUAAAAGGGACCCUUUGAACUCCCAAUUAAAAAAAGAAUGAACAAGUAAAAAAUCAUAAGAAGAAACUAUCAAUAUUAGUUCAUACUAUUUCCUCCUUAUUCUAUUACUCUCAGUCGAGUUCAAAUUCUGAGUUUGAGUUGAAGUGGUCGUGAGCUCGUUGAAAUUUGAUGUUGGAAACCCUAGUUCGCUGCACAACAUCCGGAGUACGUUUGGAGUCUUAUGGCUUGACUCCAUCUUUGUCUAAAUCAGAGAAGCAAAUAAAUAUCACAUUACACAUUUUCGUCUAGAAGUCUAAUGUCUCUUUCCCUCUCUUCAGAAUUUAUUCUUCUUUUAUAGACACUCAUUAUUAUUUUUGUUUAAUAUUUUGCAUAUUAUUAUUUGAGAUUUUAUAUUUUGUAUGUCUUAUUUGAAUUAUUAUGAAUCUUUAAAUGUGAUAGCAACUUAAUUACCCA